rnacentral:rRNA from 1 species
AGAGUUUGAUCCUGGCUCAGGAUGAACGCUAGCGAUAGGCCUAACACAUGCAAGUCGAGGGGCAUCACAUGAAGUAGCAAUACGGAUGGUGGCGACCGGCGCACGGGUGAGUAACACGUAUGCAACCUGCCUUCAACAAGGGGAUAACCCGUUGAAAGACGGACUAAUACCCUAUAACACAGGGGUCCCGCAUGGGAAUAUUUGUUAAAGGACAACCGGUUGAAGAUGGGCAUGCGUUCCAUUAGCUAGUUGGCGGGGUAACGGCCCACCAAGGCAACGAUGGAUAGGGGAACUGAGAGGUUUAUCCCCCACACUGGUACUGAGACACGGACCAGACUCCUACGGGAGGCAGCAGUGAGGAAUAUUGGUCAAUGGACGCAAGUCUGAACCAGCCACGUCGCGUGAAGGAAGACGGCCCUACGGGUUGUAAACUUCUUUUAUACGGGAAUAAAGUGCCCCACGCGUGGGGUUUUGCAUGUACCGUAUGAAUAAGGGUCGGCUAACUCCGUG